rnacentral:rRNA from 1 species
AUUGAACGCUGGCGACAUGCCUUACACAUGCAAGUCGAACGGCAGCACGGGUGCUUGCACCUGGUGGCGAGUGGCGAAUGGGUGAGUAAUACAUCGGAACAUGUCCUGUAGUGGGGGAUAGCCCGGCGAAAGCCGGAUUAAUACCGCAUACGAUCUACGGAUGAAAGCGGGGGACCUUCGGGCCUCGCGCUAUAGGGUUGGCCGAUGGCUGAUUAGCUAGUUGGUGGGGUAAAGGCCUACCAAGGCGACGAUCAGUAGCUGGUCUGAGAGGACGACCAGUCACACUGGGACUGAGACACGGCCCAGACUCCUACGGGAGGCAGCAGUGGGGAAUUUUGGACAAUGGGCGAAAGCCUGAUCCAGCAAUGCCGCGUGUGUGAAGAAGGCCUUCGGGUUGUAAAGCACUUUUGUCCGGAAAGAAAUCCUUGGCCCUAAUACGGUCGGGGGAUGACGGUACCGGAAGAAUAAGCACCGGCUAACUACGUG